ACAUCAAAGAAAUUGGAAUCUUCCUGCAGAUUUCUCUGAGAACAUGAAGACUGCUAUUCAGCAAACUGAUAUUCAUGCAGGAAGUGAUCAAAUCAAGUGGAAACAUGGGAAUUUCUCUCUGAAAGCAGCAUGGAAUUGUUGCAGAGUUACUGGAAACAGGUGUAAAUGGGCUAGAUUGUGUUGGAAACAUUGCAGUUGAGAUUUGGAGAGAGGUUUUUGAUUUGCUGCAGCUACAGGUCCCUCAGUUUUUAAGUCUCAAUCACAUUGUGGACUGGUUUUUGCAAAACACUAUGACAAAGUCUCUUAAAUCUAAGAUUUUGAAUGGGAUUUUUCCAGUUACUCUAUGGAAGAUAUGGUCCAGUAGAAAUGUUAUGCUUCAUACAGGGAUACAAGAACAGAGCUCACAUGCAGUGCAAGCUAUUAUUUGGGAUGUUAUCACAUAUCUCAAUAUUAGUUUAGCAGACUUAUUGAUUGUAUUUGGUUUGUAAUUUUUCAUUAUGAGGUUUGCUGUUUGCUGAAAUUGGAAUUUAUUUCCUUUUUUAGGCUUUGGAGAUUUGUCUCCUAAUAUAAUUGUACUAUUUUGAAUAUUUUUAUAAAAUCAACCCAUUCAGGAAAAAAAAAAGGUAGAUCUGGCUCUUGAAGAUCGUUAUUUACCCAAAGAGAAUGGUGGAUCUGGUUCUUCAAGCUCUCUUUCUUCAAGCUCAUGGAAAAUCAAGAUGGACACAGAUUGGAGUGACAUAUCGUCUUCAUCGUCUAAUGAUUCAGAUGAAGAUUUUGAUGACCUUGUAGAUUGUAUGUAUUUGAAUUUGAUGUACGAGCAUGAAGAUUCCUUUAAAUUCAAGGUACCAAAGGGAACUUCAGGGUUAACAGGUCACGAGUAUGUUCAGGAAUUGUUGAAUGACCAUGUCGGUCGAUGUUUUGAUUUAUUACGAAUGGAUAGAUAAGUCUUUCUGAAAUUAUGUCGAAUGUUGAGAGAACGUAAAUUGCUGGAAGACACACAUACAAUUUCAAUCGAGGAGUCAGUGGUAAUGUUUUUGUUCAUUAGAGGACAUAAUAUUCGUCAUGUAGUGGUAGCUGAACGAUUUCAACAUUCUGGCGAAACAGUUUCCAGACAUUUUAAUCUCGUAUUGAGAGCAAUAUGUCGCCUUGGGAAAUUCCUCAUACGUUCACCACAAAGCAAUGAUGUGCCUUCUCAUAUACUUCAUAAUCCUAAAUACUAUCCUUGGUUUAAGAAUUGCAUUGGAGCAAUUGAUCGAACACAUAUAAGUGCUUUUGCACCUGCCAGCAAACAAACUCCUUAUAGAGGAAGAAAGUCUAUAGUGACAUAAAAUGUCAUGUGUGCUUGCUCAUUUGAUAUGCUAUUUACUUUCGUUUACGCGGGUUGGGAGGGAACGACAAAUGAUUCGAGAGUUUUUA